rnacentral:rRNA from 1 species
GAUGAACGCUGGCGGCGUGCCUAAUACAUGCAAGUCGAGCGAACAGAUAAGGAGCUUGCUCCUUUGACGUUAGCGGCGGACGGGUGAGUAACACGUGGGCAACCUACCUAUAAGACUGGAAUAACUCCGGGAAACCGGGGCUAAUGCCGGAUAACAUUUAGAACCGCAUGGUUCUAAAGUGAAAGAUGGUUUUGCUAUCACUUAUACAUGGACCCGCGCCGUAUUAGCUAGUUGGUAAGGUAACGGCUUACCAAGGCAACGAUGCGUAGCCGACCUGAGAGGGUGAUCGGCCACACUGGAACUGAGACACGGUCCAGACUCCUACGGGAGGCAGCAGUAGGGAAUCUUCCGCAAUGGGCGAAAGCCUGACGGAGCAACGCCGCGUGAGUGAUGAAGGUCUUCGGAUCGUAAAACUCUGUUAUUAGGGAAGAACAAAUGUGUAAGUAACUGUGCACGUCUUGACGGUACCUAAUCAGAAAGCCACGGCUAACUACGUG